AUUUGUCUGGUUAAUUCCGAUAACGAACGAGACCUUAACCUGCUAACUAGACUCUUCUAUACUAUAGAUGAUAUCUUCUUAGAGGGACUAUGUAAUACAAAUACAUGGAAGUUUGAGGCAAUAACAGGUCAGUGAUGCCCUUAUAUGUCCUGGGCUGCACGCGUGCUACACUGAUGCAUACAACAAGUGCCUAACCAGACAUGGUAUGGCAAUCUCGAAUAUGCAUCGUGAUGGGGAUAGAUCUUUGCAAUUAUAGAUCUUGAACGAGGAAUUCCUAGCAAGUGCAAGUCAUCAUCUUGCAUUGAUUAUGUCCCUGCCCUUUGUACACACCGCCCGUCGCUCCUACCGAUACCGGGUGAUCCGGUGAACCUUUUGGACUCAUUUGGGAAAGAUAAGUAAACCAUAUCACCUAGAGGAAGGAGAAGUCGUAACAAGGUUUCCGUAGGUGAACCUGCRGAAGGAUCA
rnacentral:rRNA from 1 species